UACAGAGGGUGCAAGCGUUGUUCGGAAUUACUGGGCGUAAAGCGCGUGUAGGCGGCGGCGUAAGUCGAAUGUGAAAGCCCUUGGCUUAACCAAGGAAGUGCAUUCGAUACUGUGUCGCUUGAGUACCGGAGGGGAUGGCGGAAUUCCUGGUGUAGAGGUGAAAUUCGUAGAUAUCAGGAGGAACACCUGUGGCGAAGGCGGCCAUCUGGACGGUGACUGACGCUGAGACGCGAAAGCGUGGGUAGCAAAC
rnacentral:rRNA from 1 species